GAACUUAAGCAUAUCAAUAAGCGGAGGAAAAGAAACCAACAGGGAUUGCCCUAGUAACGGCGAGUGAAGCGGCAACAGCUCAAAUUUGAAAUCUGGCGCAAGCCCGAGUUGUAAUUUGUAGAGGAUGCUUCUAGGUAGCGACCGGUCUAAGUUCCUUGGAACAGGACGUCAUAGAGGGUGAGAAUCCCGUAUGUGACCGGCCCGCACCUUCUACGUAGCUCCUUCGACGAGUCGAGUUGUUUGGGAAUGCAGCUCUAAAUGGGAGGUAAAUUUCUUCUAAAGCUAAAUACCGGCCAGAGACCGAUAGCGCACAAGUAGAGUGAUCGAAAGAUGAAAAGCACUUUGGAAAGAGAGUUAAAAAGCACGUGAAAUUGUUGAAAGGGAAGCGCUUACAACCAGACUUCUGGGCGGUGUUCCGCCGGUCUUCUGACCGGUCUACUCGCCGUCCCGAGGCCAACAUCAUCUGGGACCGCCGGAUAAGACCUCAGGAAUGUAGCUCCCCUCGGGGAGUGUUAUAGCCUGUGGUGAUGCGGCGCGUCUCGGGUGAGGUCCGCGCUUCGGCAAGGAUGUUGGCGUAAUGGUUGUCAGCGGCCCGUCUUGAAACACGGACCAAGGAGUCUAACAUCUAUGCGAGUGUUCGGGUGUCAAACCCCUACGCGUAAUGAAAGUGAACGGAGGUGGGAAGGGUAACCUGCACCAUCGACCGAUCCUGAUGUCCUCGGAUGGAUUUGAGUAAGAGCAUAGCUGUUGGGACCCGAAAGAUGGUGAACUAUGCCUGAAUAGGGUGAAGCCAGAGGAAACUCUGGUGGAGGCUCGCAGCGGUUCUGACGUGCAAAUCGAUCGUCAAAUUUGGGUAUAGGGGCGAAAGACUAAUCGAACCAUCUAGUAGCUGGUUCCUGCCGAA
rnacentral:rRNA from 1 species